GAUGAUGAUCCCAAGCCUUCUGGCGAUUUCUUCCUCUAAGAGCUUCCCAUAAAUUGAAAAGGAAAUUCUUAGUAGAAGAUCUUAAAAGCUUUUCUGUUAAGAGUAUGCCGGGGAAGGUUUUCCGGUUUAUCUCGGAGGGCUUGUAGCUCAGUUGGUUAGAGCGCGCGCUUGAUAAGCGUGAGGUCGGAGGUUCAAGUCCUCCCAGGCCCACCAAUCACUCUAUUAAUUUAUAUGCCUUGGUUAUAUACCUUGGAGUGCUUUUUCUAUGCAGGUUACUUCUAUAAAGCCCAUAAAUUUGUAAGUGGUUUAUCCCUCUUACGCAAUAAUGCUCUUAGGCUAAUUUUCUUAGGUGUGCUGAUAAAUGAACUUGUAAAAUGAAGUUCCUGAAAUCAAGGUGGAUUAUAAAACUUAUAGAAGCGUUGUAAAAUGCUGCUUUUCUGUUUGCCUGAGGUCAUGCAGGGUGGAGAAUUUACAAGGAGAUGAGGCAGUCUACAGGCUGAUGUUAUUCUCCUUUGUCUGUUCUUAGAUUUUAUAAGUGCUUUUAAAAUCAAAAAUUUUUGUGUGCAUUAACUGUUUUAGGGGCCGUAGCUCAGCUGGGAGAGCACCUGCUUUGCAAGCAGGGGGUCGUCGGUUCGAUCCCGUCCGGCUCCACCAUUUAGAUCAUCAUCGUUGUUGUGAGAACAUUGUUUUGCGAGAAGUUUUUGUAACUUCUUGCCUGUUCU
rnacentral:tRNA from 1 species